GACGAACGCUGGCGGCGCGCUUAACACAUGCAAGUCGAGCGAGAACCAGCCCUUCGGGGCUGGGGACAGCGGCGAACGGGUGAGUAACACGUGGGUAAUCUGCCCUCGGCACCGGGAUAGCCCGGGGAAACCCGGAUUAAUACCGGAUGGCCUUUCGAGCCCUCGGGCUUGAGAGAAAAGGUAGCUUUGGCCUCUGGCCGAGGAUGAGCCCGCGGCCGAUUAGCUUGUUGGUGAGGUAAUGGCCCACCAAGGCGACGAUCGGUAGCUGGUCUGAGAGGACGAUCAGCCACACUGGGACUGAGACACGGCCCAGACUCCUACGGGAGGCAGCAGUGGGGAAUCUUGCGCAAUGGGCGAAAGCCUGACGCAGCGACGCCGUGUGCGGGAAGAAGGCCU
rnacentral:rRNA from 1 species